UCCCCGCGGUCCCGCGUCCUCUCGCCCGCCCCUUUGGCCCGCCUCCCUCUGGCCUCGCCCCGCCUCGCCCAUCCGCCGCGGCGCGCUGAGCGGGGAGGCGCGAGGGAGCCGCCCCCGCGGUCUGCGCGCUCGCCCGUCUGCUCCCGAGUCCGCGUUCCAAGUGGAACCGGAGCCCGGGCGCGGGCGCCCACGUUCCAUUCCCGGGAAGGCCUGGGAAGGGAGGGAAUCGCUCACCCGCCAGCCCGCCUGCAGGGAAAGGGCUCCUGGAGCUGUCGAUGCCUGCCCGACGCUGAGAUAACUCUUGGGUCCCCGUUAUCCACCAGCCACUUCUGCCUCGAUUCACCAAAGUGCAGGGAAAGAACCUUUUGGUGAGAUGGUGUGAAUUAGCGACAUCCAGCCUGAGCUGAAGUCUCCAGCGGGGCAAAGAAAUCUUUCCAUUUGCAAACUACCAAGGCUGACUUGCUGUGCAUUUGGCGGGCCUCCUGCCCCUGAUUCUGCUGGUUUGGAGAUGCUUUCUCGCUCUUUGGUUGGCUUCUGUCUCCACACAUUGUGGGGAUCCCAGGGAUUCGUCAUAGGACUCUCGGAUCGCUGGUGCCUCCACCGUGAUCUCCGGUCUCCCUGCGGCCAGCACUGACUUCUAGCAACAGAAUCCUGCAUGAGGGCCUAGGCACAGAACUUUAUUUCCACUCUUCUGAACACAUCUAAUGUGAUGCUCUGCAAUUGUCUGAAAUUUAUCCUACCCUAAGUCAUUAUCUUGUCCCCUUCUCUGGAACCUGCUUCACUUCCCGUAUCCCAAGGGAAAAGCAUGAAUGCAGUAUGCUACUACCACAAAUUACGCAGUUGAGUUUCCCACAUUUGGAGAAAUCACAGGGAUCAGCAAGCCUUCAGUGGAAUAGAGAAGCCUUGCCCUAGGAAAAACUACCCUUGUGGUCAUGGUAUCUACCCUGCCUGUUUCCUGAGAUUGGAACUUGGAUUAUUUACUGGACCCCCACCACCACCCGAGGGGUCUCAGGAGGCGCUGCGAAGUCCAGCCUGGCUGCAUCCUGCAUGGUGUCAGCUCCUGCUCUGCUUCCUCUCCACUGCCUGUAUCUGGAAUGAUAAAGAUGAUGUAUGGGAAAUGCAAGUGUUUGAGCUAUACCUAGAGUAAGCCCUCCCCUCCCUCUUUCUCCCAACCUUCAAAAAGUUAGAGAUAUCAUUUCCUUACAAGAAUUUUGUUCUUUUACUCAAUAAUAACUUCAAAAUGAAACCUCGAUACAUUAUAAAUGAUGUCAGUAAUACUAAGGACACCUUUGGCACCCUACUUUUAGAUUUCCCCUUAGGUCUGCCCCACAUUUUUUUGGUGGAGCCUCAGAGGCCACCGCUCUUUUCUCUUUCUGGUUGCUGAUCUAUGCUCUUUCAAUGUGACUAGAAGAGCAGAUUCAGCUACAUAGGUCUUUGGGACUUACGUGUUUGCAUCUUUGGGGGAAUAUUAUCAGAAAUUUGGAUCUAAUAUGCAAUAUCUAUCUACACUCUGGAUUAAAAUAAUCACAUUGGAUUAGUCAAACACGAGUCACUAUGGUAUUUAGAAUAAAAUA